rnacentral:rRNA from 1 species
GACGAACGCUGGCGGCGUGCUUAACACAUGCAAGUCGAACGGUGAAGCGCCUUCCUUUUUGGUGGGUGUGGAUGAGUGGCGAACGGGUGAGUAACACGUGAGUAACCUGCCCCCUUCUUCUGGAUAACCGCAUGAAAGUGUGGCUAAUACGGGAUAUUCUGGGUCUGUCGCAUGAUGGGUCUGGGAAAGAUAUUGUUUCGGUGGGGGAUGGGCUCGCGGCCUAUCAGCUUGUUGGUGGGGUGAUGGCCUACCAAGGCGGUGACGGGUAGCCGGCCUGAGAGGGUGGACGGUCACACGGGGAUGGAGACCCGGCCCAGACCCCUCCGGGGGGCAGCGGUGGGGAAUUUUGCCAAAGGGGGGGAAGCUUGAUGCAGCGCCCCCGGGUGAGGGAGGGGGGCCUUCGGGUUGUGACCCUUUUUCGGCAGGGAAGCAGGCCUGCCUCUUUUGGGGGGGGGUUGACGGUAGUGGGAAAAGAAGCGCCGGCUAACUACGU